UACGUAGGGGGCGAGCGUUGUCCGGAAUCAUUGGGCGUAAAGCGCGUGUAGGCGGCCCGGUAAGUCCGCUGUGAAAGUCCAGGGCUCAACCCUGGGAUGCCGGUGGAUACUGUCGAGCUCGAGUCCGGAAGAGGCGAGUGGAAUUCCUGGUGUAGCGGUGAAAUGCGCAGAUAUCAGGAGGAACACCGAUGGCGAAGGCAGCCCCCUGGGCUGAGAUUGACGCUCAGGCACGAAAGCGUGGGGAGCAAACAGG
rnacentral:rRNA from 1 species